rnacentral:rRNA from 1 species
CAAGUCGAACGCGAAAGUCCCGCAAGGGAUAAGUAGAGUGGCAAACGGGUGAGUAACACGUGGGUGACCUGCCUUCGAGUGGGGGAUAACGUCCCGAAAGGGACGCUAAUACCGCAUAACAUCCUGUCUUUGAACAGGUGGUGAUCAAAGCUGGGGACCCGCAAGGGCCUGGCGCUUGAAGAGGGGCCCGCGUCUGAUUAGCUAGUUGGUGAGGUAACGGCUCACCAAGGCAACGAUCAGUAUCCGGCCUGAGAGGGCGGACGGACACACUGGGACUGAGACACGGCCCAGACUCCUACGGGAGGCAGCAGUGGGGAAUUGUUCGCAAUGGGCGCAAGCCUGACGACGCAACGCCGCGUGGAGGAUGAAGACCUUCGGGUCGUAAACUCCUUUCGAUCGAGACGAAUGGCCUUCGGGUGAACAGUCCGGAGGUAUGACGGUACCGAGAGAAGAAGCCCCGGCUAACUCCGUGCCAGCAGCCGCGGUAAUACGGGGGGGGCAAGCGUUGUUCGGAAUUACUGGGCGUAAAGGGCUCGUAGGCGGCCAACUAAGUCAGACGUGAAAUCCCUCGGCUUAACCGGGGAACUGCGUCUGAUACUGGAUGGCUUGAGUUUGGGAGAGGGAUGCGGAAUUCCAGGUGUAGCGGUGAAAUGCGUAGAUAUCUGGAGGAACACCGGUGGCGAAGGCGGCAUCCUGGACCAACACUGACGCUGAGGAGCGAAAGCCAGGGGAGCAAACGGGAUUAGAUACCCCGGUAGUCCUGGCCCUAAACGAUGAAUGCUUGGUGUGGCGGGUAUCGAUCCCUGCC